rnacentral:rRNA from 1 species
AGGACGAACGCUGGCGGCGUGCUUAACACAUGCAAGUCACGGGGGUCUCGCAAGGGACAACCGGCGAACGGGUGCGUAACACGUGACCAACCUGCCCUCGUGUGGGGGAUAGCCGGGCUAACGCCCGGGUAAUACCGCAUACGUUUCCUUGGGGGAGUCCCUGGGGAAGGAAAGCUCCGGCGCACGGGGAGGGGGUCGCGGCCUAUCAGCUAGUUGGCGGGGUAAUGGCCCACCAAGGCGGUGACGGGUAGCUGGUCUGAGAGGAUGGCCAGCCACAUUGGGACUGAGAGACGGCCCAGACUCCUACGGGAGGCAGCAGUGGGGAAUCUUGCGCAAUGGCCGAAAGGCUGACGCAGCGACGCCGCGUGUGGGAGGACGCCUUUCGGGGUGUAAACCACUGUUGCCCGGGACGAACACCCACUUUUGAGUGGGCUGACGGUACCGGGUGAGGAAGCACCGGCUAACUCCGUGCCAGCAGCCGC